UAUUACAAUUCAUCCUAAAACAAGUACC
rnacentral:piRNA from 1 species